GGAAGCACAUAUAAAACUGUGAUAGUGAAAUUGCCUUCUGGGAGAUUGCACCAAUUUACACUCCUAUCAAGAGUGAUUGGGAAUAUUCAUUUCUCUCUAACUCCACUAACACUGGAUGUUGUCCAAAGUUUUUAUUUUUGCACAACUAAUCAAGGAAAAGGCUUUCUCCAUAUUUACGUGCUUGUAACUCUGGCAUGACCUUUGCUCCAGUCUCUACCAGAGGGCGGUGCCUGGAUUGAAGUGGAAAAGCCCUGUUUUCCAGCCAUGACCCAGGGAGCAAGCACUGACUCCUCAGGGGAACAGGAGACCUGCCAACUAGGACCCUGGGAGCCCCCAUGCUGGCAGUGCCCUGGGUCAUCUCAGGCUCAUCAGCAAAUCCUGGGGGGAGAGCGGGGCUGGAGGGCGAAGAAGCCCAGGAGAGUUCCUGGCUCAGAACCCCUCUCUGAGGCUCCCAAUACAGAGCCCAGGCCCCACACCCAGGGCCUCUGAGUAUUUUUGUUUAUUGUAUGUAAAAUACUAGUGUAUUUUUGUUUAAGUCUCACAGGUAAACAGGUUCUCUCAUACUUUGCCAAGGGAAAUGUGAUCUGUGCAAUUUGGCAAUAACUAUCAGAAUUUUAAAAGCUUAUGCCCUUUGACCUAGUAAUUUCACUUCUAAGAAUUUCCCCUGCAGAGAUAUGUAUAUCUUGUAUGAAAUGAAGAGGCUACGAAGACAGGCAACGCCGCAGUGUUUAUAAUAGCGAAGACCAGACACAACCCACAUGUCUAAAGGUUCUGAUUUUUAAAACUGUAGUAUAUCUGUACAAUGAGCACUCCACAUCCUUUAAGAAUGAGGAAGGGCUGUGUGAACUGAAAUGGAACUAUCUCUAAGAUUUAUUAAGUUAAAAAAAUUCAAGAGUAGCACAGUGUGUAGGGUAUGCCAUCAUUUGUAUGAUAUAAGGUCGUAUAUCUGCCAUCUCAAAUGAGGAACAGUGGUUGCCUCUGGGAAGGGAAUUGGAUGGCUAGGAAUGGGGUAGGAAAGAGGUUUGCUUUUCAGAACAUUUUAUACUAUUUAAGUUUUGUAACAAGUGCAUCUA
rnacentral:lncRNA from 1 species